rnacentral:rRNA from 1 species
GACGAACGCUGGCGGCGUGCCUAAUACAUGCAAGUCGAGCGGAUCUUCAUUAGCUUGCUUUUGAAGAUCAGCGGCGGACGGGUGAGUAACACGUGGGCAACCUGCCUGUAAGACUGGGAUAACUUCGGGAAACCGGAGCUAAUACCGGAUAAUCCUUUCCCUCACAUGAGGGAAAGCUGAAAGACGGUUUAGGCUGUCACUUACAGAUGGGCCCGCGGCGCAUUAGCUAGUUGGUGAGGUAAUGGCUCACCAAGGCGACGAUGCGUAGCCGACCUGAGAGGGUGAUCGGCCACACUGGGACUGAGACACGGCCCAGACUCCUACGGGAGGCAGCAGUAGGGAAUCUUCCGCAAUGGACGAAAGUCUGACGGAGCAACGCCGCGUGAACGAUGAAGGCCUUCGGGUCGUAAAGUUCUGUUGUCAGGGAAGAACAAGUACCGGAGUAACUGCCGGUACCUUGACGGUACCUGACCAGAAAGCCACGGCUAACUACGUGCCAGCCGCCGCAGUAAUAC